UUUUUGAAUUUUUACGUAAGGAACCACAAUAUCCGGUUGCAAAGUUUAUGGAAUAUAAAAUCAUAUCGCAUCAAUGAUUAAUUCAUUUCUACUUCGACUGUCCGUGUAUGAAAGUAAUCAUGUUCAAGUGCUCUCAAUGCGAUAACAAGUUUACUCGCAAAGAUGCUUUAACACGUCAUGUAAAAAAACAUAGUGAUAAAUUAUCUAAACUCACUUGCACCGGAUGUAAAACGUCAUUUACGAGAUUUGAUAACUAUAGGCGUCAUAUUACAAAUUCAUCAUUGUGUUCAAUGGAUUCGGAUGAUAUGACUCCUAAAAAAGCCCGCCUGACAACUAGAACACCUUUACAAGAAGUUACUACUAACGCUCCAUCAUGUUCAUUUCAUCAAUUUUGUGAAAUAUGCAAUAGUCACUACAGAGGAUCCAGAUUAAACCAUUUACGUUCUUUAAAACAUAAAAGUGUCAUCUCCGCCAAAAUUAAUGAUGAUGAUGAUUUCGUUGAAGAAUAUCAAGUUGCCUUCAAAUCAAGAAUUACCUCAUACCGAUUGAAAAAUUCACAACUAGAUGACUUGGAAGUGUGCAAUUUUUUUGAAAGAAAUCAAGAUAAACUUAUCACUUUAAUAACUAGAAAACUGAGAGAAUUUAACCAACUUAAAAUUAAUUUCGAACUUUUUGCUAAAUAUAUUUUACCUUCUAAAGACAUUAUCGAAAUCAAAUCAUUCAACACUAAAAAUAUCAUCAUUUCAAUAUCGACAAAUAUUAAGGUAGAACUGGAAGAAAUAUGUGGCGUCAUAAAAAACAAAAUGAGUGAAUUCUUGGAAAAAGAUAGUGGUAAGUAAUAUCAAUUUUAUUUAUAAACAUAU